AUGUUACACAAACAAAAAGGGAGCAGGGUGGCCGUGUGGAAGUCGAAAAAGAAGAGCUCGAGUCCAAACCGAACACCAAAAGCAGAAACAGGAUGGAACAAAAACACAAAAAAAAUCGCAGGCCCGGACCACCACGCACAGGACACAGAAAGGACCACGCAACCGGGAACCAGGCGAAAACAAAGGGCACAACUUUGAUGCGAGGGCCGAGGGCACAGGACGAAGGACGAUGGUCCGUGGGUGGAUCAGUAGGAGGAGACGCAGUCUGGAUGGACCCAACAAUGCCCAAGUACAGCUCGAUAAAUGUCAGCUGAGUCACCUCAGGGUCUCUGGACUACACAAAUAGAAAUCAUAAAUCAUAAUCAUUAAAU
ensembl:ncRNA lncRNA:CR45112 long non-coding RNA:CR45112